AGAGUUUGAUCCUGGCUCAGGAUGAACGCUGGCGGCGUGCUUAACACAUGCAAGUCGAACGGGAAACCUUUUAUUGAAGCUUCGGCAGAUUUAGAUUGUUUCUAGUGGCGGACGGGUGAGUAACGCGUGGGUAACCUGCCUUAUACAGGGGGAUAACAGUCAGAAAUGACUGCUAAUACCGCAUAAGCGCACAGAGCUGCAUGGCUCAGUGUGAAAAACUCCGGUGGUAUAAGAUGGACCCGCGUUGGAUUAGCUAGUUGGUGAGGUAACGGCCCACCAAGGCGACGAUCCAUAGCCGGCCUGAGAGGGUGAACGGCCACAUUGGGACUGAGACACGGCCCAGACUCCUACGGGAGGCAGCAGUGGGGAAUAUUGCACAAUGGGGGAAACCCUGAUGCAGCGACGCCGCGUGAAGGAAGAAGUAUCUCGGUAUGUAAACUUCUAUCAGCAGGGAAGAAAAUGACGGUACCUGACUAAGAAGCCCCGGCUAACUACGUGCCAGCAGCCGCGGUAAUAUGUAGGGGGCGAGCGUUAUCCGGAUUCAUUGGGCGUAAAGCGCGCGUAGGCGGCCCGGCAGGCCGGGGGUCGAAGCGGGGGGCUCAACCCCCCGAAGCCCCCGGAACCUCCGCGGCUUGGGUCCGGUAGGGGAGGGUGGAACACCCGGUGUAGCGGUGGAAUGCGCAGAUAUCGGGUGGAACACCGGUGGCGAAGGCGGCCCUCUGGGCCGAGACCGACGCUGAGGCGCGAAAGCUGGGGGAGCGAACAGGAUUAGAUACCCUGGUAGUCCCAGCCGUAAACGAUGGACGCUAGGUGUGGGGGGACGAUCCCCCCGUGCCGCAGCCAACGCAUUAAGCGUCCCGCCUGGGGAGUACGGCCGCAAGGCUAAAACUCAAAGGAAUUGACGGGGGCCCGCACAAGCAGCGGAGCAUGUGGCUUAAUUCGAAGCAACGCGAAGAACCUUACCAGGGCUUGACAUAUGGGUGAAGCGGGGGAGACCCCGUGGCCGAGAGGAGCCCAUACAGGUGGUGCAUGGCUGUCGUCAGCUCGUGUCGUGAGAUGUUGGGUUAAGUCCCGCAACGAGCGCAACCCCCGCCGCGUGUUGCCAUCGGGUGAUGCCGGGAACCCACGCGGGACCGCCGCCGUCAAGGCGGAGGAGGGCGGGGACGACGUCAAGUCAUCAUGCCCCUUAUGCCCUGGGCUGCACACGUGCUACAAUGGCCGGUACAGAGGGAUGCCACCCCGCGAGGGGGAGCGGAUCCCGGAAAGCCGGCCCCAGUUCGGAUUGGGGGCUGCAACCCGCCCCCAUGAAGUCGGAGUUGCUAGUAAUCGCGGAUCAGCAUGCCGCGGUGAAUGCGUUCCCGGGCCUUGCACUCACCGCCCGUCA
rnacentral:rRNA from 1 species